rnacentral:snRNA from 1 species
AUCGCUUCUCGGCCUUUUGGCUAAGAUCAAAGUGUAGUAUCUGUUCUUAUCAGCUUAAUCUCUGAUACGACGCUCAUUGAGUGUCUCAGUAGAUUAAACCGAUUUUUGGGAACAGGAUGGGGUCGUGAAGCUUGCUUCCGCCUGUCGCGGUUGGCCGGUAUUGCAGUACCGCCGGGAUCGGCCCAAUAAAU